rnacentral:rRNA from 1 species
ACACACUCUGCAGUCGACGCACAUUUCGGGGUGAGUGGCAGACGGGUGAGUAACGGUGGGAAUCGACCCUUCUCUACGGGAUAGCUCCGGGAAACUGGAAUUAAUACCGUAUACGUCCUGAGGGAGAAAGAUUUAUCGGGGAAGGAUGAGCCCGCGUUGGAUUAGCUAGUUGGUGGGGUAAAGGCCUACCAAGGCGACGAUCCAUAGCUGGUCUAAGAGGAUGAUCAGCCACAUUGGGACUGAGACACGGCCCAAACUCCUACGGGAGGCAGCAGUGGGGAAUAUUGGACAAUGGGCGCAAGCCUGAUCCAGCCAUGCCGCGUGAGUGAUGAAGGCCCUAGGGUUGUAAAGCUCUUUCAGUGGGGACGAUAAUGACGGUACCCACAGAAGAAGCCCCGGCUAACUUCGUGCCAGCAGCCGCGGUAAUACGAAGGGGGCUAGCGUUGUUCGGAAUUACUGGGCGUAAAGCGCACGUAGGCGGAUAUUUAAGUCAGGGGUGAAAUCCCGGGGCUCAACCCCGGAACUGCCUUUGAUACUGGAUAUCUUGAGUUCGG